CCUACGGGGGGCAGCAGUGGGGAAUUUUGCGCAAUGGGGGAAACCCUGACGCAGCAACGCCGCGUGAGUGAUGAAGGCUUUCGGGUCGUAAAGCUCUGUCAAGUGGGAAGAAAACAUAUGGUGACAAUACCGCUGUAUGCUGACGGUACCACCGAAGGAAGCACCGGCUAACUCCGUGCCAGCAGCCGCGGUAAUACGGGGGGUGCGAGCGUUAUUCGGAAUUACUGGGCGUAAAGAGCGCGUAGGCGGUCUUUUAAGUCAGGUGUGAAAGCCCGGGGCUCAACCCCGGAAGUGCACUUGAAACUAAGAGACUUGAGUAUGGGAGAGGGAAGUGGAAUUCCUGGUGUAGCGGUGAAAUGCGUAGAUAUCAGGAGGAACAUCGGUGGCGAAGGCGACUUCCUGGACCAAUACUGACGCUGAGGCGCGAAGGCGUGGGGAGCAAACAGGAUUAGAUACCCUAGUAGUC
rnacentral:rRNA from 1 species